AGUGGAAUUGCUGGGUCACAUGGUAAUUCUGUGUUUAAUGAGCAGUUGUCAGACUGUUUUCCAAAGAAGCACAUCAUUGUACAUUUCCACCACCAAU
rnacentral:pre_miRNA from 1 species